rnacentral:ribozyme from 1 species
AACAUAUAUGUUUUUUCAUUGUCCUGUUUUUGAGUCUUUGUUUUCUUUUUUUUUCUCACGCUGUUCAAUGCUGAUUAUGUUUUUGAAGACGAGCCGUGUGUUCAAGGAAUUAAAUGAGACGGAAUACAGCAGAGCAACAUAAAUCUUCUUCCUCCUUUUUUUAUGAUUGAUAUAAACUGAUUAAAAUAUGAAAUAAUUUAUAAAAA